ACCAAUUGGCUUAAUUAGUCUGAAUUUGGGAUGCUUAGUGUAUAAGAUGACUACAUAAGCCUUUCUUCAUGCUAAGCCAAUACUAUGUUAAAAACUAUAGUAGGUUUGUUGUGCAACUGCAAGACUUACUAUAGGGAUUGAUGUGGAUUGUCUUGGUGCAUAGUAGAUGCUUAUGGCAUGUUUGGGUGUGUUACUUUGUUGUGCAACCACAAGAGCAGUAUUUGUUGGGUUUUGG
rnacentral:lncRNA from 1 species